GGACCUGUGUCGCAAUGGUAGCGAGUCUGACUCCAGAUCAGAAGGUAUGCUUUCCCUCUAUCAUCCGAGAAACAAAGACUGACAUGCACGUAGGUUGUCCGUUCGAGUCGGGCCAGGUUCA
rnacentral:tRNA from 1 species